rnacentral:sRNA from 1 species
AACUGGAGAACCCAGCCGAGAGGGUGCACCAGAUCCAACAAAUCCUCGUCACCCUUCCCCGCGUGGUCAUUGUGGUCAUGAGAUACCUCUUCGCUUUCCUCAACCACCUCUCCCAGUAUAGCGACGAGAACAUGAUGGAUCCCUACAACCUGGCCAUCUGCUUCGGGCCUACCCUCAUGCACAUCCCUGAUGGGCAGGACCCUGUGUCCUGCCAGGCACACAUCAAUGAAGUCAUCAAAACCAUCAUCAUCCAUCAUGAAGCCAUCUUCCCCAGCCCCCGGGAGCUAGAGGGACCUGUGUAUGAAAAAUGCAUGGCUGGAGGGGAAGAAUAUUGUGACAGCCCACACAGCGAGCCAGGGACCAUCGAUGAAGUUGACCAUGACAAUGGCACUGAGCCUCAUACCAGCGAUGAAGCUCCUCGGGCUGAUGGGCAGAAGGCUGCUCUGGACACCAGGACUGAAGAUGAGGAGGGACAGAGAGAAUAGGGCUUGCUGGGUCAGCGAAGAAGCAGCCAUGGGACUCACCCAGUGGGGCUUCAUCCCCAUAAGAACCACCCCCCAGAAAGUGCUACCUCCCCCUUCUCAGGGUAAAAGUUCACAGUGGCCCCCAGAAUGUAUGAGUCAGAGCUUUGGGUCCCCCUCCCAGAUGAUCCUUCUUCUUUUUGUUCUUCGUAAGGCUGCUGGUUUCUGGGAAUGACAAAGGCAGGAAAAAUCAUUCUGGGAGGGAAGCAGCCACAGGCUGGGAGAGCCAGUUUCAUAUUCCCUGAAGGCUCUCAAAGUAUCCUGUGUGUAUUAGUGGGGGGUAUUGAAUCAGGGGCACUCUUUGGUGGAAAAUCAAUUGCAUUUUCUAAAUGUUACAUUCAUGCCAUCCCUGGCCAAACAGUGGCAGAAUAGUGAGCUGCAGAGACAGUCAAGGGGUCACUGUGCUCAGAAAAAAGAGACCUGGAGUUGAAGCACAGAGGGAGUCCUUAUGGUCAUGUAAUCUGAGGCAAGCCACAUCACCUCUGGCCUCUAUUUCCUUAUCUAUAAAAUGGGAAUGACAGCACCAAGCAAAUUAUGGCAUGGGUUAAAAUGAGGUGACAUAUGGGAAGGAGCCUAGCACAGUGUCCGGGACAGGGAGGUGGAUAAGAAACAUCAAUGGACUCUGUAUCAAACAGACAUCCUUCCUAAUCCUGAUAGAAAAACUGAGUCCUGGAGAAUUUUCUUGACCUAACUGGCAUUGGCAGUUACUGGUCAUUGGCAACCGAAACCUCCUGAUUUGUUUACCUGUUUCAUCUUAGACAUUUCAUUUAGGGGAUCAUCAAUAUCUAUCUUCUUUUCUCUUGACAGCACCCGGUAUGAAUGGAACCCAGCAGGCCUCAAAGGUCAAAUCAGGCAGAGAACCAUGAGUCCAGGUCUUUGCCAUACAUGAAUCAGCCAAUGAAUGCCAAAUUGGAGGAACAAUUUAGUUGUUUGUUUAUCUGUUGCCUUUCUUGUCUCAAAGAUUCUGUACCAGCUGGGCGUGGUGGCUCACACCUGUAACCCCAACACUUUGGGAAGUUGAGGUGGGCAGAUCACUUGAGCCCAGGAAUUCGAGACCAGCCUGGGCAACAUGGUGAAACUCCGUCUCUACAAAAAAAAAAAACCAAAAUACAAAAAUUAGCCAGGCAUGGUGGCAUAUGCCUGUGGUCCCAGCAAAUCAGGAGGCUGAAGUGGGAGAAUUACUUAAGCCCAGGGAGGUUGAGGCUGCAGUGAGCCAUGAUUGUGCCACUGCACUCCAGCCUGGGUGACCGAACAAGGCCCUGUCUCAAAAAAAAAAAAA